CUUAAAGUUCCGUCACUUAAAUCAGAUUUAGUGAUGUGAGUUUCCAGACAUUUUGAGUUUUAGUUUAAAUAAAUAAAUAAUUUUAAAUAGAAGAUUGCUAGAAAAGUCUUUGGUAAUUAAAAAAUCACACGCGUUUGCCCAGAAUGACUGUGCUAGGGUUAGCAGUAAUACUGCUUAGUUAUUAGGUACAGCAAAGUUCUUACCUUGGAGUUUCUGUCAUUGUUGGUUGGUGCUUUGUAAAUAUGCCUUAUACUUCUGCUGGAAACAGCUAACAGACAGGGUAAUAAUAGCCUAGGUUCCCCCAAAGUACUGUACAAGAAGAUAAGUUAUAUUCACCUAGCGGGAAAAAAAGUGGGCUAAACUAGCUCCAGAGAACUUGUGAAUUCUUUGCUAAAGGCUCUUUGUUUUAGGCAUUUGAUGAAGCAAUUGCUGAAUUGGAUACGCUGAAUGAAGAGUCUUAUAAAGACAGCACUCUGAUCAUGCAGUUACUUAGGGACAAUCUCACUCUGUGGACAUCGGAAAACCAGGGAGACGAAGGAGACGCUGGGGAGGGAGAGAACUAAUGUUUCUCGUGCUUUGUGAUCUGUUCAGUGUCACUCUGUACCCUCAACAUAUAUCCCUUGUGCGAUAAAAAAAAAAAAAAAA
rnacentral:lncRNA from 10 species